rnacentral:rRNA from 1 species
GCGUGGAUAUCGAGAGGAACACUCGUGGCGAAAGCGAGCUACUGGACAUUAACUGACGCUGAGGCUCGAAGGCUAGGGUAGCGAAAGGGAUUAGAUACCCCUGUAGUCCUAGCAGUAAACGGUGCACGCUUGGUGUGAGGGGAUUCGACCCCCCUUGUGCCGGAGCUAACGCGUUAAGCGUGCCGCCUGGGAAGUACGGUCGCAAGACUAAAACUCAAAGAAAUUGACGGGGACCCGCACAAGCGGUGGAGUAUGUGGCUUAAUUCGAUGCAACGCGAAGAACCUUACCAAGGCUUGACAUGCAUCUCUAAGCGCGUGAAAGCGCGUGACCCUUCGGGGGAUUUGCACAGGUGCUGCAUGGCCGUCGUCAGCUCGUGUCGUGAGAUGUUGGGUUAAGUCCCGCAACGAGCGCAACCCUUGUGAUUAGUUGCCAGCACGUAAUGGUGGGAACUCUAAUCAGACUGCCCAGAUCAACUGGGAGGAAGGUGGGGACGACGUCAGGUCAGUAUGGCCCUUACGCCUUGGGCUGCACACGUACUACAAUGCCCAGCACAAUGAGAACCGAGACCGCGAGGUGGAGGAAAUCUGCAAAACUGGGCCCAGUUCGGAUUGGAGGCUGCAACCCGCCUCCAUGAAGUUGGAAUCGCUAGUAAUGGCACAUCAGCAACGGUGCCGUGAAUACGUUCCCGGGUCUUGUGCACACCGCCCGUCACAUCAUGGAAGCCGGUCGCACCCGAAGUGCCUGCGCCAACCCGCAAGGGGGGCAGGGUCCUAAGGUGAGGCUGGUAACUGGGAUGAAGUCGUAACAAGGUACCCG